UUUGAUAAUUGCUCUUUGGAUACGUUUCUUUGGGAAAAGAUCGUUCUCUAGCUUCCCUUUAGGCCAAGGCUCAUGUGGAAAUACUUUGAAACUUUCCAUACUGUCUUCUAUAGGAACUGGGAUGCAAUUGUCAUGUGAUCAAUUGUCUUCUCUAUGUUAUCUACUUUCUACUUUUUGUUUCAUUCCUUUACUUUUUCUCUUUUGCGUCAGUUGUAUAUCUUAUCCUCUUUGUAAUGUUCUUUUAU
rnacentral:lncRNA from 1 species